UUGACUUCUUGGCCUUUUGGCUGCAAUCAAGUGUAUUAUUUGUUCUUAUCAAUUUAGUAUGUGAUAUGUUCUCUGUCCAAGGACAAAAAAAAAAAUCAAAUGGAUUUUGGAGCAGAAAGAAGGAAUGGAGUAUGUCCAUUCCACUCAUCACAUCAGUCUGGCACUGUGAUUUCUCCUGAAAUGGUACACGCCUU